GAUUGCCUACGGGGGGCAGCAGUGGGGAAUAUUGCGCAAUGGGGGAAACCCUGAUGCAGCAACGCCGCGUGAGUGAAGGAGUAUUUCGGUAUGUAAAGCUCUAUCAGUAGGGAAGAAGAAAGACGGUACCUGUAGAAUAAGCUCCGGCUAACUACGUGCCAGCAGCCGCGGUAAUACGUAGGGAGCAAGCGUUAUCCGGAUUUAUUGGGUGUAAAGGGUGCGUAGACGGGUAUAUAAGUUAGUUGUGAAAUCCCUCGGCUCAACUGAGGAACUGCAACUAAAACUGUAAAUCUUGAGUGCGGGAG
rnacentral:rRNA from 1 species